AAAAACUUUCCAGAGGUCCGGCCUCUUCAAUUGUUCGGCGGUGUGGUGGAAAAGUACAUGAUCUUGGCUUGAGACCAAACCACCCGCUCGCAUGGAAGCAUCUCGCACUCCGGAGCGGCAACGCAAUUUGUGCAAAUAACUGGCGCGUGACGCCCCAUCAGACAAAUCCCCGUUUGUGCGCUCGACAAGGGACACUUUCACAUUAAGGAGCGGCGGCUUGGUGGGAACCGAUGGCUGACCCCGCAAAUUAAUCACAGUAACUUUCAGCAAAAAAAAAAAAACAACACACAUUUCCUCGGGAAUUCAGUGAAAAGAGCCACAGGGACACCGAGACUGUGUGCAGGCCAGUCAAGUUCAUCCAUGCAGUCAUCUUUGCCAAAUAGUGACGGGCAGAACAAAGAAGAUGCUCUUCCACGAGAAGGCAAAAAGUACACUUAACCUGUGUUUCCACCUUUUGCCAUUCAUGCAACUGAAUAAUAGCUUUGUGUUUCAUUAAAGAGGACCAGCGUUCACACUGGGCUAUCCCAUCGUGAGCCAUCAAUCUGACUUGUUUACUGCUGGCAAACAAUGCAGGGCAGGAAUGAAAGAUCCAGUCACACUCAGAAGUCAAAGUCAGCCUGACAGGAGGUCCAGCGGCUCUUCAGACACAUGACCCCUCUGCUCACACAUGCGACGUUGAGCCCACACGCCGUUUGAAUGACACCGCAUGUCUUAAGGCUCGGAGAAGACGUGAAGAACGUGGACGAUGUAUGCUUGAAAUCAAUCAUUGAAGGACAGCUACAAGGAAGUAGAACGUGUGGAAUAAGGUGACUGUUUCACCUCCGUAGACCAGAUGCAAAGAGGUGGUCCAUAUGAGAGGAAUCAAGACACUCUCCAUGAGCAAAGUGAUGGGAUGCGCUCAUACAAACUGAUCCAAGACAAUCGCUAACAUAACCUGAGCUCCGUUAUGGCUUCAUGAAAGUAACUUUUGUUCACUGUCCACCCAGACAAUCUGAAGUCCAACGUAUACAAAAAAAAUGUCAAUCACACAUUUUGGAGAUAAGAUUGUUUAGCAAACACAAAAUUCUUCCCAUUUCCAAGAUAAGGGGGAAUGACCCCAAUUAGGCUUGUUUUAGUGUUGAAGGCCAACAACAUUCCUGUACACGGAAUAUUCCG